CUUCCCUUUUCCUUCGAAAUGGCCGAAUUUCCUUCCAAUUUCCUUCCAAAUCUUAUUUCCUUUUAUUUUUCCUUCCAAAUGCCAAAAUAUCCUUUUGGAAGGAAAUUUCCUUCCGAGUGGAAGCUCUGAGUAUUGCUGUGCCUGUUAUAUUCAGGUGCAAGCCAGAGGCAUUAAGAUUAGAUAUGUUAAUAUUACCAUGCUGGACAAUUGCCCACUUGUAUUUACUACAAGGCUUAGCUAAAAGAUUAUUCGUGUUUUUUAUCUUUAUAUUCAUUGAUUCGUCUUCUCUUUGUAUGAUUUCAGAAAUAGCAACUUUAGCUCAGUGGCGUAACGCAACCGCUGGGGGCCCUCCGUCAAUCGGCCACUUUGGGCCCCUUUGCUACACUAAAAAUAGGCUCCAAAAAUUUUUCUCGGAACAAUUUAUUUUUGGCGACCUCCCCCCCCCCAAUUUUUUCCGGACAUACACAAUGAAAUUACAAUUAAUUCAUUCUAGUAUCUCGUCCUUUACCUCAGCCGCGACGUACUUAAUCCGUCGCAGCUUCGGG